UCCAGCGUAGCUCAAUGGUAGAGCUCCCGGCUGUUAACCGGGUUGUUGUAGGUUCGAGCCCUACCGCUGGAG
rnacentral:tRNA from 1 species